rnacentral:rRNA from 1 species
AGUACGGCGGAACACGAGAAAUUCCGUCGGAAUCCGCGGGGACCAUCCCGCAAGGCUAAAUACUCCCUAGUGACCGAUAGUGAACCAGUACCGUGAGGGAAAGGUGAAAAGCACCCCGGAAGGGGAGUGAAAUAGAUCCUGAAACCGUGUGCCUACAACAAGUCAAAGCUCGUUAAUGAGUGAUGGCGUGCCUUUUGUAGAAUGAACCGGCGAGUUACGAUUGCAUGCGAGGUUAAGUCGAAGAGACGGAGCCGCAGCGAAAGCGAGUCUGAAUAGGGCGAAUGAGUAUGUAGUCGUAGACCCGAAACCAUGUGAUCUACCCAUGUCCAGGUUGAAGGUGCGGUAAAACGCACUGGAGGACCGAACCCACGUACGUUGAAAAGUGCGGGGAUGAGGUGUGGGUAGCGGAGAAAUUCCAAACGAACUUGGAGAUAGCUGGUUCUCUCCGAAAUAGCUUUAGGGCUAGCCUCGGAAUUGAGAAUGAUGGAGGUAGAGCACUGUUUGGACUAGGGGCCCAUCUCGGGUUACCGAAUUCAGAUAAACUCCGAAUGCCAUUCAUUUAUAUCCGGGAGUCAGACUGCGAGUGAUAAGAUCCGUAGUCGAAAGGGAAACAGCCCAGACCACCAGCUAAGGUCCCAAAAUAUAUGUUAAGUGGAAAAGGAUGUGGGGUUGCACAGACAACUAGGAUGUUGGCUUAGAAGCAGCCACCAUUUAAAGAGUGCGUAAUAGCUCACUAGUCGAGUGACCCUGCGCCGAAAAUGUACCGGGGCUAAACAUAUUACCGAAGCUGUGGACUACACCAUUAGGUGUAGUGGUAGGAGAGCGUUCUAAGGGCGUUGAAGGUCGAUCGUGAGGACGGCUGGAGCGCUUAGAAGUGAGAAUGCCGGUAUGAGUAGCGAAAGACAGGUGAGAAUCCUGUCCACCGUAUGACUAAGGUUUCCUGGGGAAGGCUCGUCCGCCCAGGGUUAGUCGGGACCUAAGCCGAGGCCGAUAGGCGUAGGCGAUGGACAACAGGUUGAUAUUCCUGUACCAGUUGUUUUUGUUUGAGCAAUGGAGGGACGCAGUAGGCUAAGGAAUGCAUGCGAUUGGAAGUGCAUGUCCAAGCAAUGAGUCUUGAGUAGAGUUAAAUGCUUUACUCUCUAAGGACAAGUUGUGACGGGGAG